rnacentral:rRNA from 1 species
UGGGGAAUAUUGGACAAUGGGCGAAAGCCUGAUCCAGCCAUGCCGCGUGAGUGAUGAAGGCCCUAGGGUUGUAAAGCUCUUUCGGCGGGGACGAUAAUGACGGUACCCGCAGAAGAAGCCCCGGCUAACUUCGUGCCAGCAGCCGCGGUAAUACGAAGGGGGCUAGCGUUGCUCGGAAUCACUGGGCGUAAAGGGCGCGUAGGCGGACUCUUAAGUCAGAGGUGAAAGCCCAAGGCUCAACCUUGGAAUUGCCUUUGAUACUGAGAAUCUCGAGACCGGAAGAGGUGAGUGGAACUGCGAGUGUAGAGGUGAAAUUCGUAGAUAUUCGCAAGAACACCAGUGGCGAAGGCGGCUCACUGGUCCGGUUCUGACGCUGAGGCGCGAAAGCGUGGGGAGCAAACAGG